UGAACACGGAAUGAUUCAUGCACCAGGCUAUCCCUUUUUAAGUUAUAUUCAUAAAAAAGAUAAUUUACAUGCUAUAACAAGUUAAAAUUCAUUGAUAGUGUGCUAGAGGCUUAGUUAGCAUAUAAUGUUUAUAUCAUGUAAGACCUUGUUUUAAGAGUCCUCAUGACUUUAGGUAAAGCUCAUUGCAUAUAUGACCAUGUUUUUGUCUUGGUUUCGCACCCAGUGUUUGGUGUCCGAUACCCACAUUGGAACCGAUGGUGUGCCAUAGGCUUAGUUAGCAUGUAGUGUUUAUAUCAUGUAAGACCUUGUUUUAAGAGUCCUCAUGACUUUAGGUAAAGCUCAUUGCAUAUAUGACCAUGUUUUUGUCUUGGUUUCGCACCCAGUGUUUGGUGUCCGAUACCCACAUUGGAACCGAUGGUGUGCCAUAGGCUUAGUUAGCAUGUAGUGUUUACAUCAUGUAAGACCUUGUUUAAAAGUCCUCAUGACUUUAGGUAAAGCUCAUUGCAUAUAUGACCAUGUUUUUGUCUUGGUUUCGCACCCGGUGUUUGGUGUCCGAUACCCACAUUAGAACCCGAUUAAAUCUGAAUUCGCAUCAGGAAAUUCACAUUAGGGGG
rnacentral:lncRNA from 1 species